rnacentral:rRNA from 1 species
GACGAACGCUGGCGGCGUGCCUAAUACAUGCAAGUCGAGCGCAGGAAGCCGUCUGAACCCUUCGGGGGGACGACGGUGGAAUGAGCGGCGGACGGGUGAGUAACACGUAAAGAACCUGCCCAUAGGUCUGGGAUAACCACGAGAAAUCGGGGCUAAUACCGGAUGUGUCAUCGGACCGCAUGGUCCGCUGAUGAAAGGCGCUCCGGCGUCGCCCAUGGAUGGCUUUGCGGUGCAUUAGCUAGUUGGUGGGGUAACGGCCCACCAGGGCGACGAUGCAUAGCCGACCUGAGAGGGUGAUCGGCCACACUGGGACUGAGACACGGCCCAGACUCCUACGGGAGGCAGCAGUAGGGAAUCUUCCACAAUGGACGAAAGUCUGAUGGAGCAACGCCGCGUGAACGAUGAAGGCCCUCGGGUCGUAAAGUUCUGUUGUAAGGGAAGAACAAGUGCCGCAGGCAAUGGCGGCACCUUGACGGUACCUUGCGAGAAAGCCACGGCUAACUACGUGCCAGCCGCCGCCGUAA